rnacentral:rRNA from 1 species
GUGGGGAAUCUUGCGCAAUGGGCGAAAGCCUGACGCAGCCAUGCCGCGUGAAUGAUGAAGGUCUUAGGAUUGUAAAAUUCUUUCACCGGGGACGAUAAUGACGGUACCCGGAGAAGAAGCCCCGGCUAACUUCGUGCCAGCAGCCGCGGUAAUACGAAGGGGGCUAGCGUUGCUCGGAAUUACUGGGCGUAAAGGGCGCGUAGGCGGACAGUUUAGUCAGAGGUGAAAGCCCAGGGCUCAACCUUUGAAUUGCCUUUGAUACUGGCUGGCUUGAGUACGAGACAGGGGAGUGGAACUCCUAGUGUAGAGGUGAAAUUCUUAGAUAUUCGGAAGAACACCAGUGGCGAAGGCGACUCACUGGCCCGUUACUGACGCUGAGGCGCGAAAGCGUGGGGAGCAAACAGGAUUAGAAACCCCGGUAGUUCC